rnacentral:rRNA from 1 species
CUACGGGGUGCACCAGUGGGGAAUAUUGGACAAUGGGGGAAACCCUGAUCCAGCAAUGCCGCGUGUGUGAAGAAGGCCUGCGGGUUGUAAAGCACUUUCGGUUGGGAGGACUGCUUCUAGCACUAAUAUUGUUGGAAGUUGACGUUACCUUCAGAAGAAGCACCGGCUAGCUCCGUGCCAGCAGCCGCGGUAAUACGGAGGGGCAAGCGUUAAUCGGAAUUACUGGGCGUAAAGCGCGCGUAGGCGGCUAGAUCAGUCGGGUGUGAAAGCCCCGGGCUUAACCUGGGAACUGCAUCCGAUACUGUCUAGCUUGAGUACAGGAGAGGAGAGUUGAAUUCCACAUGUAGCGGUGAAAUGCGUAGAUAUGUGGAGGAACACCAAUGGCGAAGGCAGCUCUCUGGCCUGAUACUGACGCUGAGGUGCGAAAGCGUGGGGAGCAAACAGGAUUAGAUACCCCCGUAGUC